AAUCUUCUGUAUCCAUGCUGUGAUUUCGUCACACACCAGACUACAAGAGCUAAUGAGAUUUCCAAAAUAAGUGAAACA
rnacentral:pre_miRNA from 1 species